AUCUGGGUCAGGCCUCAUCAGGGUGGUCCCUUCCAGCAGAGGACACAUCUCAAGAUAAAGAAACUGAGCUGAUUAUAGUCAAUGGGCGGCAGAGGUAGACCAACUCAAGGAAAGUGUGGCCCCUUGCUGUAGGAUAAUGGUGUUUGGAUAAUAUUGUAAGAAACCUCAGAAACGUGGGAUCUGGCACUUAAGAGGAAUUCUGCGACUCGACUGGAUUCUGUCAGAUAGGAAAGGGAUGUGCUGAGCUCUGCGAACCUCCUUCCGUUAUUGACAGAGGAGCCCGCUGCUGGGGAGGGUAGAUGACCUUCACCUGCUCUGCCUUCAGUCAAUAACAACCCAGAGACAAAUAUAAUUAUUUCAUGUACAAUAACCACUUAAUUUUGUACUCCACUCUAUUUACAA